rnacentral:rRNA from 2 species
UGCAGUCGAGCGAACUGAUUAGAAGCUUGCUUCUAUGACGUUAGCGGCGGACGGGUGAGUAACACGUGGGCAACCUGCCUGUAAGACUGGGAUAACUUCGGGAAACCGAAGCUAAUACCGGAUAGGAUCUUCUCCUUCAUGGGAGAUGAUUGAAAGAUGGUUUCGGCUAUCACUUACAGAUGGGCCCGCGGUGCAUUAGCUAGUUGGUGAGGUAACGGCUCACCAAGGCAACGAUGCAUAGCCGACCUGAGAGGGUGAUCGGCCACACUGGGACUGAGACACGGCCCAGACUCCUACGGGAGGCAGCAGUAGGGAAUCUUCCGCAAUGGACGAAAGUCUGACGGAGCAACGCCGCGUGAGUGAUGAAGGCUUUCGGGUCGUAAAACUCUGUUGUUAGGGAAGAACAAGUACGAGAGUAACUGCUCGUACCUUGACGGUACCUAACCAGAAAGCCACGGCUAACUACGUGCCAGCAGCCGCGGUAAUACGUAGGUGGCAAGCGUUAUCCGGAAUUAUUGGGCGUAAAGCGCGCGCAGGCGGUUUCUUAAGUCUGAUGUGAAAGCCCACGGCUCAACCGUGGAGGGUCAUUGGAAACUGGGGAACUUGAGUGCAGAAGAGAAAAGCGGAAUUCCACGUGUAGCGGUGAAAUGCGUAGAGAUGUGGAGGAACACCAGUGGCGAAGGCGGCUUUUUGGUCUGUAACUGACGCUGAAGCGCGAAAGCGUGGGGAGCAAAACAGGAUUAGAAUACCCUGGGUAGUCCACCGCCGUAAAACGAUGAGUGCUAAGUGGUUAGAGGGUUUCCGCCCCUUUAGUGCUUGCAACCUAACGCCAUUAAAGCCAUCUCCGCCUGGGGAAUACGGUCCGCAAGAACUGAAACUCCAAAGGAAUUGACGGGGGCCCGCACAAGCGGUGGAAGCAUG